rnacentral:rRNA from 1 species
GACGAACGCUGGCGGCGUGCUUAACACAUGCAAGUCGUACGGUAAGGCCCUUUCGGGGGUACACGAGUGGCGAACGGGUGAGUAACACGUGAGUAACCUUCCCACAACGUUGGGAUAACGCUAGGAAACUGGUGCUAAUACUGGAUAUGGUCUUCUGCUGCAUGGUGGGGGUUGUAAAGCUCCGGCGGUUGUGGAUGGACUCGCGGCCUAUCAGCUUGUUGGUGGGGUAGUGGCCUACCAAGGCGGCGACGGGUAGCCGGCCUGAGAGGGUGACCGGCCACACUGGGACUGAGAUACGGCCCAGACGCCUACGGGAGGCAGCAGUGGGGAAUAUUGCACAAUGGGCGCAAGCCGGAUGCAGCAACGCCGCGUGCGGGAUGACGGCCUUCGGGUUGUAAACCGCUUUCAGCAGGGACGAAGCUUUUUGUGACGGUACCUGCAGAAGAAGCACCGGCUAACUACGUG